GAUGAACGCUGGCGGCGUGCCUAAUGCAUGCAAGUCGAACGGUAACAGGUCUUCGGAUGCUGACGAGUGGCGAACGGGUGAGUAAUACAUCGGAACGUGCCUAGUAGUGGGGGAUAACUACUCGAAAGAGUGGCUAAUACCGCAUGAGAUCUACGGAUGAAAGCAGGGGAUCGCAAGACCUUGUGCUACUAGAGCGGCCGAUGGCAGAUUAGGUAGUUGGUGGGAUAAAAGCUUACCAAGCCGACGAUCUGUAGCUGGUCUGAGAGGACGAUCAGCCACACUGGGACUGGGACACGGCCCAGACUCCUACGGGAGGCAGCAGUGGGGAAUUUUGGACAAUGGGCGCAAGCCUGAUCCAGCAAUGCCGCGUGCAGGAUGAAGGCCUUCGGGUUGUAAACUGCUUUUGUACGGAACGAAAAGCCCUGGGUUAAUACCCUGGGGUCAUGACGGUACCGUAAGAAUAAGCACCGGCUAACUACGUGCCAGCCGCCGCGGUAA
rnacentral:rRNA from 1 species